rfam:Bacillus cereus R309803 contig01100, whole genome shotgun sequence.
CUCUUAUCAAGAGCAGGUGGAGGGAUUUGGCCCGAUGAAGCCCAGCAACCGACCGUAAUACCAUUGUGAAAUGGGGCGUAUAUUUACGACGCCAAAAGGCACGGUGCUAAUUCCAGCAGAAAGUAUACUUUCUGGUAGAUAAGAG